rnacentral:rRNA from 1 species
CAGACACAUGCCAAGUCGAGCGGCAGCACAGAGAAACUUGUUUCUCGGGUGGCGAGCGGCGGACGGGUGAGUAAUGCCUGGGAAAUUGCCCUGAUGUGGGGGAUAACCAUUGGAAACGAUGGCUAAUACCGCAUGAUGCCUACGGGCCAAAGAGGGGGACCUUCGGGCCUCUCGCGUCAGGAUAUGCCCAGGUGGGAUUAGCUAGUUGGUGAGGUAAGGGCUCACCAAGGACGAUCCCUAGCUGGUCUGAGAGGAUGAUCAGCCACACUGGAACUGAGACACGGUCCAGACUCCUACGGGAGGCAGCAGUAGGGGAAUAUUGCACAAUGGGCGCAAGCCUGAUGCAGCCAUGCCGCGUGUGUGAAGAAGGCCUUCGGGUUGUAAAGCACUUUCAGUUGUGAGGAAGGUGGUGUCGUUAAUAGCGGCAUCAUUUGACGUUAGCAACAGAAGAAGCACCGGCUAACUCCGUGCCAGCAGCCGCGGUAAUACGGAGGGUGCGAGCGUUAAUCGGAAUUACUGGGCGUAAAGCGUGCAGGUGGUUUGUUAAGUCAGAUGUGAAAGCCCGGGGCUCAACCUCGGAACUGCAUUUGAAACUGGCAGACUAGAGUAGUCUGUAGAGGGGGGUAGAAUUUCAGGUGUAGCGGUGAAAUGCGUAGAGAUCUGAAGGAAUACCGGUGGCGAAGGCGGCCCCCUGGACAGAUACUGACACUCAGAUGCGAAAGCGUGGGGAGCAAACAGGAUUAGAUACCCUGGUAGUCCACUGUAAACGAUGUCUACUUGGAGGUUGUGGCCUUGAGCCGUGGCUUUCGGAGCUAACGCGUUAAGUAGACCUGGGGAGUACGGUCGCAAGAUUAAAACUCAAAUGAAUUGACGGGGGCCCGCACAAGCGGUGGAGCAUGUGGUUUAAGUUUCGAUGCAACGCGAAGAACCUUACCUACUCUUGACAUCCAGAGAAUCUAGCGGAGACGCUGGAGUGCCUUCGAACUCUGAGACAGGUGCUGCAUGGCUGUCGUCAGCUCGUGUUGUGAAAUGUUGGGUUAAGUCCCGCAACGAGCGCAACCCUUAUCCUUGUUUGCCAGCGAGUAAUGUCGGGAACUCCAGGGAGACUGCCGGUGAUAAACCGGAGGAAGGUGACGACGUCAAGUCAUCAUGGCCCUUACGAGUAGGGCUACACACGUGCUACAAUGGCGCAUACAGAGGGCAGCCAACUUNNCGAAAGUGAGCGAAUCCCAAAAAGUGCGUCGUAGUCCGGAUUGGAGUCUGCAACUCGACUCCAUGAAACCGUAGUCGAAUCGCUAGUAAUCGUGGAUCAGAAUGCCACGGUGAAUACGUUCCCGGGCCUUGUACACACCGCCC